UGCAAGUGCAAUACAUAUUAUACAAGCACCUACGUAGCUACGUUUACGGUUUACGCAAGUUGAGGUGUAACAGCAUUUUAGGGGCUAUUGUAAUUCCCACUUCCAGGACUUUAUCAUACAUACAGCCGACAGCCCGAUGACCUACAUUUUUGUGUAUUCUGGUCUACCCUAUGAUGGCCGCGAAGUAACAAUCACGUCACCGUUUAUCAGAUUGCCCAGUUUGAAAGAGUCUCCAACAAUUUCAUCGGAUAGGUACGCCAUAAACCGUGGCAUAGCGUUGGGCCAGCAUAAUUUUGUCCGGAUCAAUAUCUACAAAAAUGACGUCCCAAUUAUUAGAAGCUAAUAAUAUAGUGUCUUUGUCGAACAGUCAGCUGUACGAAGUUUCCGCUGUGCCACAAGACGGGUCGACGCCGGUCGCUGAACAUGGGAAGUCCUCAAGCCCACCCAGCAUCGAUUUGAUGAAUCAACAAUACAUCUUACAUCUUACAUCGAUCAUUGCAAUCUUAUAAUUAUUCACCUGAAUGCAUGUAAUCCUGAAUGUACACUUAAUUUAUUACUACCCAUCUACAAAGUCAACACUGUAUUAAUAAAAGUAUUUAUUGUUAAAAUAAAAUUGAGUUCUAUAUUAUUUGUAGGUACUUAAAAAUUAUUUGGGUAUAAAGGAAACAUAUUUUAA